UGGGGAAUAUUGCACAAUGGGCGCAAGCCUGAUGCAGCGACGCCGCGUGGAGGAAGAAGGUUUUCGGAUUGUAAACUCCUGUUAAGUGGGAAAAAAUCUCGACGGAUAAUACCCGUUCGAGGAUGAUGGUACCACUAGAGAAAGUACCGGCAAACUUCGUGCCAGCAGCCGCGGUAAUACGAAGGGUACGAGCGUUAUUCGGAGUUACUGGGCGUAAAGAGCGUGUAGGCGGUUUGUUAAGUUGAUUGUUAAAUUCCCCGGCCUAACCGGGGACCUGCAGUCGAAACUGGCAGACUAGAGUACAAGAGAGAGAAGUAGAAUUCCCGGAGUAGCGGUAAAAUGCGUAGAUCUCGGGAGGAAUACCGAUGGCGAAGGCAGCUUCUUGGCUUGAAACUGACGCUAAAGCGCGAAAGCGUGGGGAGCAAACAGG
rnacentral:rRNA from 1 species